AUUGAACGCUGGCAGCAGGCCUAACACAUGCAAGUCGAGCGGGGUUUUCGGACCUAGCGGCGGACGGGUGAGUAAUGCGUAGGAAGCUGCCCGAUAGAGGGGGAUACCAGUUGGAAACGACUGUUAAUACCACAUAAUGUCUACGGACCAAAGUGUGGGACCUUCGGGCCACAUGCUAUCGGAUGCGCCUACGUGGGAUUAGCUAGUUGGUGAGGUAAUGGCUCACCAAGGCGACGAUCUCUAGCUGGUUUGAGAGGAUGAUCAGCCACACUGGAACUGAGACACGGUCCAGACUCCUACGGGAGGCAGCAGUGGGGUAUAUUGGACAAUGGGCGCAAGCCUGAUCCAGCCAUGCCGCGUGUGUGAAGAAGGCCUUCGGGUUGUAAAGCACUUUCAGCGAGGAGGAAGGGUUAGUCGUUAAUAGCGGCUAAUUUUGACGUUACUCGCUGAAGAAGCACCGGCUAACUCUGUGCCAGCCGCCGCCGUAAGAC
rnacentral:rRNA from 1 species